CUUAGCUCAGUUGGUAGAGCGGUGAGAUUCCCGAUCCACAUGCAUGAGUUUGAUUCCUGCUGUC
rnacentral:tRNA from 12 species